rnacentral:rRNA from 1 species
CAGCCUGCCCAGUGACUACGGGUUCAACGGCCGCGGUAUUUUGACCGUGCAAAGGUAGCGCAAUCACUUGUCUUUUAAAUAGAGACCUGUAUGAAUGGCCAAACGAGGGCUUAACUGUCUCCCCCUUCAAGUCAGUGAAAUUGAUCUAUCCGUGCAGAAGCGGGUGUAAUAAUACAAGACGAGAAGACCCUUUGGAGCUUAAGGUACAAAGUUCAGCCACGUUAAACGACUCCUCAAAAAGCAAAAACUUAGUGGAAUGUGAAGUUUUACCUUCGGUUGGGGCGACCGCGGAGGAAAACAUAGCCUCCGAGUGGAAGGGGGUAAACCCCUAAAACCAUGAGAAACAUCUCUAAGCCGCAGAACAUCUGACCAAAAAUGAUCCGGCCAACCAGCCGAUCAACGAACCAAGUUACCCUAGGGAUAACAGCGCAAUCCUCUCCCAGAGUCCAUAUCGACGAGGGGGUUUACGACCUCGAUGUUGGAUCAGGACAUCCUAAUGGUGCAGCCGCUAU